GAUGAACGCUGGCGGCGUGCCUAAUACAUGCAAGUCGAGCGAAUGGAUUAAGGGCUUGCUCUUAUGAAGUUAGCGGCGGACGGGUGAGUAACACGUGAGUAACCUGCCCAUAAGACUGGGAUAACUCCGGGAAACCGGGGCUAAUACCGGAUAACAUUUUGAACCGCAUGGUUCGAAAUUGAAAGGCGGCUUCGGCUGUCACUUAUGGAUGGACCCGCGUCGCAUUAGCUAGUCGGUGAGGUAACGGCUCACCAAGGCAACGAUGCGUAGCCGACCUGAGAGGGUGAUCGGCCACACUGGGACUGAGACACGGCCCAGACUCCUACGGGAGGCAGCAGUAGGGAAUCUUCCGCAAUGGACGAAAGUCUGACGGAGCAACGCCGCGUGAGUGAUGAAGGCUUUCGGGUCGUAAAACUCUGUUGUUAGGGAAGAACAAGUGCUAGUUGAAUAAGCUGGCACCUUGACGGUACCUAACCAGAAAGCCACGGCUAACUACGUGCCAGCCGCCGCGGUAA
rnacentral:rRNA from 1 species